rnacentral:lncRNA from 1 species
UCUUUUCCCCUAGAGAUCAAUCCAAGUCCUUUGUACUGUAAAGUGAUUUGUUUCUGAAGAUUAAAACAGGGAAAAAAUCCAGUACUGGAUAAGGUGGAGCCUGACGUGGCAGAUAAACUCCCAGCUUAGCGGCCAACGUACACCAUUUAUUUAGAGCAUUGCUUUCCCUGGAACAUUCAGAAAAAAAAGGUCACUGGUUCCAUGGAUUUUUUGGUAGGUGGGGAC